GGCCAUUACUCUCAGGCCAUACACUCCUACCAAUUGAACUCUGCAGCUGAAGGAAGCCUUUAACGUCACAUUUGUUUCUGUCUAAGAACUCCACCAGCAGAAGAUUUCUCAAAAAGCAACCCCCCCCAAAAAACACUGCUUGUUUGUUCAAAAACUACAGAAGCCAUACGGACACCGGGGCAAUCCGCCUGUGACACCUUGACAUACGAAAUCCUUCCUGCUGCAGCUGGAGAGGAAGGGCCAGAGACCAACCUCCAAGCCACUCAGGUAACAAGCAGCCCUUUUCCAGCGACAGGUGUUUCUCGUCAUCUCCACCACAAACCGCAGCCCAAAGGACACGUGUCCCUCUGUGGGGCAAGGGCAGGCCUUGGCGCCGAGCACUCUCUCACCUGAGACCUUCUAAAGCCUCUCUCUCAGACCCGGGGGAAACAGAAAAGAAGGGGAAAAUAAAGAUAUGCAUAUCCAGGCCAAGCGGUCCAUUUUGAUACAAACUCACACCCUCCUUCGAGUAGGCAGCAAGCGAGACAAGUCAACGCCAGGGUACUUACAGCCAUAGCGGGGUCUCUGCAAGGCCGGCGAGGAGGACUCCUCAUAAUGCAUUCUCCCGGUGAACAAACUUCGCGUACCCGCCAGCCAGUAUAAUCCCAGCUCCUGGAACAGAGAGAGCCUUCACCGUCCCUCAGCCGCUGCCGCUCCAAAUGCGCGAACACACCCACCCUCACGCACAGUAGGGGGAGUCGCCUGUUCCUGCAGCUGUACACUUUUGGCCUCUUCCGCAACGGCCCCAAGGCAGUCACGAUGCGCUACCAGGGGCUUUAAAAGCUGCCGACGGGGAGUGACUUUCCUGCAAUCAGACCAAACCUAAAGACGGACGCGCGCGCCUCACGUCUUCUUCUUCCUCCUUCUCCUCCUCCUCCUGCCGCCGCCAAGCGCAAAUGAAGUUCGGAGUAAGCCGGAGGUCGGCUCUCGUCUUAUCUUUUCCCUCCCCCUCUCCGAUUUGCUCCUUCGCGAGCAGGACUCGUCCGUUUUACCUGGCUGCCUACUUACGCGCGGCGCCCUCUCAGGCCGGGCACGAGUGGCGGCGGGAGAUUAGCUUGUUUCUUCGCGCGCUCAGUUCUAUCCUGAGAAAAGCCGCCAAAGUGAACUCUUUCUCCACCCCCACUGCGUUUCCUCUCGUUCUCAUUUUCCCCAGCCCCGUUAUUCACGGGGGAGGGGGCGACAGAACCGGCUCCGCAGCGACCCCUCUCGUCUGUAACGACGGUCGACGCAGCUGGGUGGGCCGAGCCCCCUCCCCUAUCCUCGAUUUGCAAUCUGCAUGUAGGAGCCCGGAGAGAGGGCACGGGAGAUGACUCCAGCCUCGGGGCUUUCCACUAAACUGACUUCCCUCGUCUCAAGAACCAGGUUACAGUCUUCAUCUGACGAGGAAUUCUGGGAUUCGUUGGACCGGGGGUCCUAGAUGAAAUUGAAGACACAGGCUUGCAGCAAAGUUAGGCCUUUAUUGGUUACGUGCACAUGGUCAGUCUCCCAUGAUGUUGGUGGAGAGCUGCAUCAUGGCACUGCUUGCUUGGAGGUUUUAUACAUUUCAGGACAAAGACAUUUGUAUUAAUGAAUCAGGAGGUUACACAUCAGCAUUACAUAAGCAUUGCAUAGGCACUGCAGAGGCACCACACAGACACUGCAUUAUGUUCUAGUCAAUUUGGCAAUGUUCAGCACUUCACAUACCAGCACAUUCUUGCUGUGAGCUAAGCAUUUCAGUUAAUGCAAUCCUUCCUACAUCUUGGAUAGUACAAGAAUGUUCAGUGUCUGUUCAGUAUUAUCUUAUAGAGUUGAAACUGUACCAUACAUCUCAGCACAGGCAGGGAAGACAGCUCUGAAAAGAAAAAGGUUCUGGCUGGCUACUAAACUAUUAAAAUAUUAUACACCUUUA